AUACGGAGGGUGCAAGCGUUAAUCGGAAUUACUGGGCGUAAAGCGCGCGUAGGCGGUUUGAUCAGUCGGAUGUGAAAGCCCUGGGCCCAACCUGGGAACUGCAUUCGAUACUGUCAGACUAGAAUAUGGUAGAGGGUAGUGGAAUUCCUGGUGUAGGGGUGAAAUGCGUAGAUAUCAGGAGGAACAUCAGUGGCGAAGGCGGCUACCUGGACCAAUAUUGACGCUGAGGUGCGAAAGCGUGGGGAGCAAACAGGAUUAGAAACCCUAGUAGUCC
rnacentral:rRNA from 1 species